UCAGUCUAGUUUUACUCUGUCCUGCCUGCUCCUAGCUCCGUCCCUCCCUGGAGCUGCCACUGGUUGCCAGCCUUUGUGCUACCUGGACCACCCAUCCUCCACAAACGCUAGAAGUUCCGGUUCCUUUGCUGGUGGCUGCCUGUCCCUUACCCCGAACUUCAAUAAAGAACUUAUUAUUUUGUACUUUGUGUCUGACUGAAAUUUCGGGUCCUCAGUUCUGAUCAUUACA